GAUGAACGCUGACGGCGUGCCUAAUACAUGCAAGUCGAGCGAACGGACGAGAAGCUUGCUUCUCUGAUGUUAGCGGCGGACGGGUGAGUAACACGUGGAUAACCUACCUAUAAGACUGGGAUAACUUCGGGAAACCGGAGCUAAUACCGGAUAAUAUUUUGAACCGCAUGGUUCAAAAGUGAAGGACGGUCUUGCUGUCACUUAUAGAUGGAUCCGCGCUGCAUUAGCUAGUUGGUAAGGUAACGGCUUACCAAGGCAACGAUGCAUAGCCGACCUGAGAGGGUGAUCGGCCACACUGGAACUGAGACACGGUCCAGACUCCUACGGGAGGCAGCAGUAGGGAAUCUUCCGCAAUGGGCGAAAGCCUGACGGAGCAACGCCGCGUGAGUGAUGAAGGUCUUCGGAUCGUAAAACUCUGUUAUUAGGGAAGAACAUAUGUGUAAGUAACUGUGCACAUCUUGACGGUACCUAAUCAGAAAGCCACGGCUAACUACGUG
rnacentral:rRNA from 1 species